ensembl:Y_RNA Y_RNA Y RNA
GGCUGGUCCAGUGGUAGCAGGUUAUCAGAACUUACCAACAUUAGUAUCAUUAAAGUUGGUGUACAACCCCCUCACUGCUAAAUUUGACUGGCUUAAA